UACGUAGGGGGCAAGCGUUAUCCGGGAUUACUGGGUGUAAAGGGUGAGUAGGCGGCAUGGUAAGCCAGAUGUGAAAGCCUUGGGCUUAACCCGAGGAUUGCAUUUGGAACUAUCAAGCUAGAGUACAGGAGAGGAAAGCGGAAUUCCUAGUGUAGCGGUGAAAUGCGUAGAUAUUAGGAAGAACACCAGUGGCGAAGGCGGCUUUCUGGACUGAAACUGACGCUGAGGCACGAAAGCGUGGGGAGCGAACAGG
rnacentral:rRNA from 1 species